GGCUAACUCCGUGCCAGCAGCCGCGGUAAUACGGAGGGUGCGAGCGUUAAUCGGAAUUACUGGGCGUAAAGCGCAUGCAGGUGGUUUGUUAAGUUCAGAUGUGAAAGACCCGGGGCGUCAACCUCGGAAUAGCAUUUGAAACUGGCAGACUAGAGUACUGUAGAGGGGGGUAGGAAGUUUCAGGUGUAGCGGUGAAAUGCGUAGAGAUCUGAAGGAAUACCGGUGGCGAAGGCGGCCCCCUCGGACAGAUACUGACACUCAGAUGCGAAAGCGUGGGGAGCAAACAGGAUUAGAUACCCUGGUAG
rnacentral:rRNA from 1 species